rnacentral:rRNA from 1 species
AACGUAAGGUGCAAGCGUUGUCCGGAAUUACUGGGUGUAAAGGGAGCGCAGGCGGACCGGCAAGUUGGAAGUGAAAACUAUGGGCUCAACCCAUAAAUUGCUUUCAAAACUGCUGGCCUUGAGUAGUGCAGAGGUAGGUGGAAUUCCCGGUGUAGCGGUGGAAUGCGUAGAUAUCGGGAGGAACACCAGUGGCGAAGGCGACCUACUGGGCACCAACUGACGCUGAGGCUCGAAAGCAUGGGUAGCAAACAGG